CCUACGGGAGGCAGCAGUGGGGAAUUUUGGACAAUGGGGGCAACCCUGAUCCAGCCAUGCCGCGUGUGUGAAGAAGGCCUUCGGGUUGUAAAGCACUUCGCGAGAACGGCCGGUACCGGAAGAAGAAGCACCGGCUAACUACGUGCCAGCAGCCGCGGUAAUACGUAGGGUGCGAGCGUUAAUCGGAAUUACUGGGCGUAAAGUGUGCGCAGGUGGCCGCGCAAGUCGAGUGUGAAAUCCCCGAGCUUAACUUGGGAAUUGCGCUCGAAACUACGUGGCUCGAGUAUGGCAGAGGAAGGUGGAAUUCCACGUGUAGCGGUGAAAUGCGUAGAGAUGUGGAGGAACACCGAUGGCGAAGGCAGCCUUCUGGCCAUACUGACGCUCAUGCACGAAAGCGUGGGGAGCAAACAGGAUUAGAUACCCUUGUAGUC
rnacentral:rRNA from 1 species